rnacentral:rRNA from 1 species
UACGAAGGGGGCUAGCGUUGUUCGGAAUUACUGGGCGUAAAGCGCGCGCAGGCGGUCUUCCAAGUCAGUGGUGAAAGCCCGGAGCUCAACUCCGGAACUGCCAUUGAAACUGUAAGACUUGAGGACGAGAGAGGUGAGUGGAAUUCCCAGUGUAGAGGUGAAAUUCGUAGAUAUUGGGAAGAACACCAGUGGCGAAGGCGGCUCACUGGCUCGUAUCUGACGCUCAGGCGCGACAGCGUGGGGAGCGAACAGG